GUGCUGGCUUCAGCAGCACGUAUCCUAAAACUGGAAUGACACAGAGGUUAGCACGGCCUCUGCACAAGGAUGAGGUGCAAAUUCCUGAAGCAUUCCUUAUUAAA
ensembl:snRNA U6 U6 spliceosomal RNA